GGUGAUAGUGCUACGAUCUCAAAGUGAUGAGAUACCAUUAUCGAAUAGGUUCCCCAUCACUUAUGAAAAAUAUUGAGAAUCAAUACAUAUAUGUAAAGAUUAUAGCAUCAAUUAUAAAAGGAGAGGAAACAUCGAAAUGUUUAAAAAUGUUAUCGGUUCAAAUAUUACUACGAGUAUAAUAUUGAGGGAAACCAUGGAAAAAAGUUUGAAGUCCCUAAGUAAUAUAUUCAGCGUUAUUUUAGAUUCAAUACCAGUUACAGAAUAUUCGGACACCCCUGAAACACAACUGCGAAAAGCAAUACAAGUGCUUUUAUAAAUAUUAAAUUAAAUUUAUUUUUGUUCAAGUUUUAUAGAGUAAUGUA